ensembl:lncRNA
GAGUCCAACGCGGGCUCCCUUGCUGCGUCUCCAUUGCUGGCCCAGCAUGCUGGCAUUCUGUUUCUCCUCCGGAAAACUUGCACAUGCCUUUGAUUCGAUUUGUUAAUGGAAAACACCCUCUAUGAACCUCUAACUGGUGAUACCUCUCUAUCAGAGAAGCAUUUUUCAUAGAACUCACUUCAUCUGGGGACCACGUGUCCAGGAGAGCUAUCAUUUUUGGCAAAGGGCACAUCCAGACCCACAUGCCAGCAUUGCCCUACAAGACAUCUGGUUACCAACUAAAUGACUGCCUGCUAAAGCAGAGAUUUGUCACCCCUGGAAAGGAGAAGGGGCCAGAGCAGCAGUGGAGAAGCAGCCGAGGAGCGCAAACACAGUGAACAUUCCCACCUGUCCGAAGAUGACGUAGGGAAGCACCAGUGCACUGGGGACGAGAUCGCUGCCUUAACGCCAUUUCUUAAAGGACCCUGCCUGUCGAGAUGUAUGGUGUCUGUCAUCUAACUUCGCCCCGCACUCGACCUUUUGCUUGCCUGGACCUGUGGUUACUGCCAAGACUCUGAUCCCUCAGCAUGUCACCUCUGGCAAAAAAAAAAAAAAAAAAAAAAAAAAAAAAUCCCAAAAGCUUGAGAUUCAGACGUUCCAGAUUCUGCUCUGGCCCCUUACAAAAGUAUUUAAUAUGAAGGCUUUUUAAAAUAAAAAACAAGAAGGCAAAGAAGAGGUCUUAAGAGAAAAUUUCAAAUAAAUCAUAGGAUCAAUCAUGCCGGACUGGGUAACAGCAGUUGUUUUUUGGCCAGAGUCUGAUAGCAGGCGCUUGGAAUCCUAACUGAACUAACUCUCACAGAGCUGCGUGAAACCGAGAGAUUAUUUGCUGCAGCUCCCUGUUUUGGGGCAAACGACCCUCCAGUGAUCAAAGACAGAUGCUUAUCUCCUGUCCUCUUGAGACUUUCUCGGCGUGCUUUCCUUCGAUUUGCUCAUUUGGAUAUUUUAUCGCCCUGGCAGCUAAAAACUGCUUCCUCAUGUCCAGCUGGAAUCUUUGCUACUUCAUUUGAAAAUCUAUUUUCCAUCCCUUGUCAAUUUUGGUUAUUUCUUAUGGAUCCUUUCCAGAUGUGCACAAGGUUUUCACGGUGUGGUGAAGCAGCUCGGACCCGAUACUCUGCUAAGGAUCUGCCGUCCGCAGGGCAUUUUGGAAACGCUGGGCCAGGAGUCAGGAAGACCCUGGUCUGCUGCCUGCCAGGAACCAAUUGCUUGACCUUGGAUAAGUCUCUUUCCGUGUCUGGGCCUCAUGCUCUUCAUCUCUAAAGACUCAGACCACACAAUCUCUAAGAUUUCUUCCAGCCCUGACGAAUGUGUUCAAUAAUUUUGUUAAAAACACCCUGUCUCAAACAAUGAAUCUGUGCUUAGCGUGUAAUGGAUACACGAUAAAUGUUUGUCACACAGAAUUAAGUCAUUGUGAUUUCCAUGGAAGGUUUCUCUCAGCGUUCACUAAACCUUUUAGUCACCUCGACGCCCUCUGUCCCUCCCAGGAGUGACAUCUCUCGUUUGUAGGAGUAGGAAUUGGAGUGCAGUGGUGAAGUGGCUUCUUCAUAAAGUGCAGCAGGCACUCGGCACAGGAGUAGUCAGUUUCUCAGACUCCACUGACAAGGAGGCCCAAGCUGUUUCUAGUUACUUCUUUGCUGCCAUAGCCAACCUAUUAAAAUGCCUCCGUGAUUCCAGAAAGAAAACAAGUCCG